AGAGUUUGAUCCUGGCUCAGAACUAACGCUGGUGGCGUGUCUUAGUCAUGCAAGUCGAACGCGAAAGCACCCCUCGGGGUGCGAGUAGAGUGGCGAACGGGUGAGUAACACGUGGGUAACCUACCUCUGAGUGGGGGACAACCCUUCUAACGAGGGGCUAAUACCGCAUAAGGCAGUGUUUCUUAAUGAGAUGCUAUGAAAGGUGGCCUCUGCUUGCAUGCUGCCGCUUGGAGAGGGGCCCGCGGUCCAUUAGCUUGUUGGUGAGGUAAUGGCUCACCAAGGCGAAGAUGGAUAGCCGGCCUGAGAGGGUGAUCGGCCACACUGGAACUGAGACAAGGUCCAGUCCCCUACGGGGGCCAGCAGUCUAGAAAUUUGGGCAAUGGGCGAAAGCCUGACCCAGCGACGCCACGUGGAGGAUGAAGCCCCUAGGGGUGUAAACUCCUGUCAGGGGGGAAGAAAGUGGUGGGGUCAAUACCCCUGCCAUCUGACGGUACCUCCAGAGGAAGCUCCGGCUAACUCUGUGCCAGCAGCCGCGGUAAUACAGAGGGAGCAAGCGUUGUUCGGAUUUACUGGGCGUAAAGGGCGCGCAGGCGGGUCGAUUCGUCGAACGUGAAAACUGUCGGCUCAACCCACAGAUUGCGUUCGAAACUGUCGGCCUUGAGUUCAGGANAGGAAAGCGGAAU
rnacentral:rRNA from 1 species